rnacentral:rRNA from 1 species
CCUACGGGAGGCAGCAGUGGGGAAUAUUGGGCAAUGGGCGCAAGCCUGACCCAGCAACGCCGCGUGAAGGAAGAAGGCCCUCGGGUUGUAAACUUCUUUUAUCAAGGACGAAACAAAUGACGGUACUUGAUGAAUAAGCCACGGCUAACUACGUGCCAGCAGCCGCGGUAAUACGUAGGUGGCAAGCGUUAUCAGGAUUUACGGGUGUAAAGGGCGGGUAGGGGGGACUGGAAGUCAGAUGUGAAAACCAUGGGCUCAACCCAUGGCCUGCAUGUGAAACUGUAGUUCUUGAGUGUUGGAGAGGCAGGCGGAAUGCCGGGUGUAGCGGUGAAAUGCGUAGAUAUACGGAGGAACACCAGUGGCGAAGGCGGCUUGCUGGACUGCAACUGACGUUGAGGCACGAAAGCGUGGGGAGCAAACAGGAUUAGAUACCCGAGUAGUC